AUUGAACGCUGGCGGCAGGCCUAACACAUGCAAGUCGAGCGGGUGAAGGGAGCUUGCUCCUGGAUUCAGCGGCGGACGGGUGAGUAAUGCCUAGGAAUCUGCCUGGUAGUGGGGGAUAACGUCCGGAAACGGGCGCUAAUACCGCAUACGUCCUGAGGGCGAAAGUGGGGGGUCUUCGGACCUCACGCUAUCAGAUGAGCCUAGGUCGGAUUAGCUAGUUGGUGGGGUAAAGGCCUACCAAGGCGACGAUCCGUAACUGGUCUGAGAGGAUGAUCAGUCACACUGGAACUGAGACACGGUCCAGACUCCUACGGGAGGCAGCAGUGGGGAAUAUUGGACAAUGGGCGAAAGCCUGAUCCAGCCAUGCCGCGUGUGUGAAGAAGGUCUUCGGAUUGUAAAGCACUUUAAGUUGGGAGGAAGGGCAGUAAGUUAAUACCUUGCUGUUUUGACGUUACCAACAGAAUAAGCACCGGCUAACUUCGUG
rnacentral:rRNA from 1 species